GAGCCGUGAUGGGAGUUGCGCUAAAGUGGAUGGAGGGUCCUCCACAAUAAUCUGACCAUCAGAUGAGCAAAGGCGCUACUGAGCUC
rfam:Beta vulgaris subsp. vulgaris Bvchr2.sca013.con0171.1, whole genome shotgun sequence.